CUUCGUCGUUCCAAUCAAACCAGGAUGAAUCACUUUGUAAGAAGCUUGAUUUGGAUACAUAAAAUGGUGGAGAAACACCAGGAAGUUGAAUAAAUCUCAUAGGAGUUGGGAUGAAGAAGUUAUCCCACUUUCAAAUCAGGUGAUUCCAGUUUCCCAGUUUGGGAAUAGGACAGCUUCUUCGUCGUUCCAAUCAAACAAGGAUGAAUCACUUUGUAAGAAGCUUGAUUUGGAUACAUAAAGUGUUGGGGAAUCACCAGGAAGUUGUGUUUCAAAAAAGAAAAAAAAAAAUCACCAGGAAGUUGAAUAAAUCUCAUAGGAGUUCGGAUUAAGAAGUUAUCCCACUUUCAAAUCAGGUGAUUCCAGUUUCCCAGUUUGGGAAUAGCACAGCUUCUUCGUCGUUCCAAUCAAACCAGGAUGAAUCACUUUG
rnacentral:lncRNA from 1 species